GGAAGUGGUAGUUCAGUGGUUAUGAAGUUGGACUUCUGAUCGGAAGCUCGAGAGUUCGACUCCCACCAGUGCCA